GCGUGGGUGGCCCAGCUUGGUCAAAGGCGCAGCGUUGAGGUCGCUGUCCUGCAGAGGUUCGCAGGUUCAAAUCCUGCCCCACGCA
rfam:Euryarchaeota archaeon RBG_16_68_12 RBG_16_scaffold_6644, whole genome shotgun sequence.